CGGAAGUGAAUUUACUAUAAAACCAACUGAACUUCCGUUUCCGUCCCUUUCGACCGCGACAUCGUGGUCUGGAUACGACGUGUUCACGUGCUCUCCCACUAUACCCAGUGGACACGAUGUCUGGUUCAGCUGCAGAUAGAGGAGGAGGAGGAGGAUGUGCUCGAACUAUCCUGGUAUCACACCGCUCAGCCUCCCGGGGAAAGUUUAUACCAGGGUGCUGGAAAGGAGGCGCCGACCGUUGUUGACCUGGACUUCCAGGUGGAUGAGUGUCCACAAGAGGAAGCAUGUGUCGAAGUGUGCCAGAGUGAUAUGGCCGGGUUUUCGCUAACACCAUUGAGGACUGCUGUCCAAUGACUGGGGUUUGAUAGUGACCUGAGCUACAUUUGAACAUUAAAUACUAGUGUGCUUUUUUUCUUUUCUUCUCACUCUACUAACUGGGUACUUCCUGCGUCUUCUCUCUGCAGGUGUUUACAUUAACGUGAGGAAGACCUGGUGGCAGCCUGGGCCACACUGGUGGCAGCGAGAACCAUGGGAUCUCCUCCGGGGAUUCAGGACAGGUAUAGAUGAAGCAUCCCAUAGGAUGAUACGUUAUUUGUCUUUAACUUAAACUUUGAAUUGGCAUGUGUUAAAGCACACAGUUACUAAAUUAAUAUUUUUGUUUAGCUUCUGCAGCCUUACGGUGGGCAGGUAUGACCACUAGCUUAUGGUUGCUACAGAACAACUUUCUCUGAGUCCCUUUACUGUUUCUUUUCCUCUUGUGUUAUUCUUAUGAUGUGGUCACUGCUCGGCAAAAGUUACGUUUUUAAUGCUUUAAAGAGAAAAAGUUGCGCUUAUCCUAUUGCACUAAACAAGCAGCACAUCAUUAAAGCCUGGCACUGAGCUCGUCUGUGUUUAGGUGUCGAAGUGUGCCAGAGUGAUAUGGCCGGGUUUUCGCUAACGCCAUUGAGGACUGCUGUCCAAUGACUGGGGUUUGAUAGUGACCUGAGCCACAUUUGAACAUUCAAUACCAGUGUGCUUUUUUCUUUUCUUCUCUUACGCUACUAACUGGGUACUUCCUGCUGUCUUCCCUCUGCAGGUGUUUACAUCAAUGUGAGGAAGACCUGGUGGCAGCGAGAUCCCAUAGAUCUCCUCCGGGAUUACAGGACAGAUAUACAUGAAACAUCCCUUAGGAUAACAAGUUGUCUUGAAAUGGCAAGCAUUAAAGCACACUUACUAAAUUGAGUGUUUACAUCAACGUGAGGAAGACCUGGUGGCAGCCUGGGCCACACUGAUGGCAGCGAGAACCAUGGGAUCUCCUCCGGGGAUUCAGGACAGGGUCUUUUGGAGGAUGAGGUGUGCCAUCUCCAGGUAGCUCCCCUGGGAAAUCAUGCCUGAGCUCUACUUCGACAUGAGUCCAGAGUGGGGUGCCCAUAAUGUUCCUGAAGGCUGUUCGCCAGCUCCUGCUGCACAGACUGCGAGAGUGCUAGCUUUCUGACUGGUCCGAUCAAACAAAGCACCUGAAAAAUGCACAACACUGAGCUGAGAAAUCAAUAAAGUUGGCUGAUUAUUCACAAAA